rfam:Otolemur garnettii contig056109, whole genome shotgun sequence.
GCCAGGUGUGGUGGCACACACCUGCACUCCCAGCUACUCUGGAGGCUGAGGCAGGAGGAUUUCCUGAGCCCAUGAGUUCCAGGUUGUAAUGUGCUAUGCCUAUCAGGUGUCUAUGCUAAAUUUGACGUUAAUAUGGUGACCUCUCAGUAAUAGGGACCACCAGGUGGCCUAAGGAGGUAUGAAGCUGGAAACAGAGCAAGUCAAAAGUUCCGUGCUGUUCAGUAGUGGAAUCAAGCCUGUGCACAGCCACCGCACUCCACCCUGGCCACAUAGCAAGACCUGGUCUCUU